rnacentral:pre_miRNA from 1 species
CUCACGAAGUGGUUGUAGUAUGUCUCCAGUCCAUAUCACAGCCAGCUUUGAUGAGCG